rnacentral:rRNA from 1 species
CACCGCGGUUAUACGAGAGGCCCAAGUUGAUAGACUUUCGGCGUAAAGCGUGGUUAAAAUAAUAAUAAACUAAAGCCGAAUGCUUUCAAAACUGUUAUACGUUCCUGAAAGCUAGAAGACCAUUAGCGAAAGUAGCUUUAUUACCUUGAACCCACGAAAGCUAAGAAA